UACGAAGGGGCUAGCGUUGUUCGGAAUUACUGGGCGUAAAGCGCACGUAGGCGGAUAUUUAAGUCAGGGGUGAAAUCCCGGGGCUCAGCCCCGGAACUGCCUUUGAUACUGGGUAUCUAGAGUCAGAAGAGGUGAGUGGAAUUCCGAGUGUAGAGGUGAAAUUCGUAGAUAUUCGGAGGAACACCAGUGGCGAAGGCGGCUCACUGGUCUGGUACUGACGCUGAG
rnacentral:rRNA from 1 species